CGCUGUCGAUGGAUGCCACAGAAAGCCUGUCAAUGCCCUUUCCAGUAUCAACGAGAGAGUGACUGAAGAGGAAUGGCUGCAGUCACUGACUUCCUUCCAGGAGCUCAUUCCCUUCCCAGAGUUAAGGACAUGGCUUAACUCUUCAAAAGUCCUUGCCUCUACAACCAGGGAAAUGAAGACUAAUCUGGGGAUUCAAGCAGGGAUUUUCAGUUUAGACUGAGCUGAAGAUCAUUAUCAGAUAGAAACAUCCUUUCUCUAUGAGUUCUUGUCAAGGCCAUGAUGUCGCCUGCAGUGACUACGGCGUUAUUGCAAACUUCAGUGGAACGUGAAAUGUGUGGUCUUAAGGGUGUAUGCUUAUGAACACAGCCAUGGCUGUUCUGAGCAUAUGCUGUAUCAUCCAAAGGACAUCGGUGACAGAAAUCUCCCAGGUGAUAAUUAUAUAAAGGACCCUCUGCUCUGAGAGGAAGUUCCAUCACUGAAACUAAAGAAUAUAAAAUGCUGUUAAUGAUGCUUUGUGCUGACAUCGCACCUUUGUUCUAAAGACACCAGGCAUUUUACCAAUGCCUGUGAGCUUCUCCGAGCAUCUUUUCCAUGGAAAGUUUCGUAGACAAGAGCCCAGCAGGGACAGAGAUUUAGCAAGAUUCCUCUAGCUAUCAGAUUGUCCAGUUGGUUUUACAUCAUCUUCCUCCUGCAAAAUGGGCAGGCUCUUUUAUUAAUGGAGCAUUUGAGAUUCUGCCUCUGAUACUGGCUUUCUGAAAUUAUGCUUGUCAGGUUCCUAACAACAGUCAUGUUUUCUACUCCUAAAGAUAAAACAAUAUUUCCCAAUAAAAGUAUAUACUGAAAAAAG